rnacentral:rRNA from 1 species
UACGUAGGGUGCGAGCGUUGUCCGGAUUUACUGGGCGUAAAGAGCGCGCAGGCGGUCGAUCAAGUCGAGUGUGAAAGCCCCCGGCUCAACUGGGGAGGGUCAUUCGAUACUGAUCGACUCGAAGGCAGGAGAGGGUAGUGGAAUUCCCGGUGUAGUGGUGAAAUGCGUAGAUAUCGGAAGGAACACCAGUGGCGAAAGCGGCUUCCUGGUCCAGCACCGACGUUCAGGCACGAAAGCGUGGGGAGCAAACAGGG